GUCGCCCUCCUGUCCGGAGAUGCCCCUCAGUCCAGAGGCGCCCCUCAGUCCAGUGGUGCCCUUUUCUCAAAUCCAGGGUCGGUGACGAGGGUCUCCGCUCCUAAGCUAAAGCUGGUGACCCUCUGUUUGAGCUGUAUGACAAUGCACCAGGCUACUGGCCAAUCAUAUCCAGUCGCCCACAGCUUGUGAGCAGGUUCAACUUAAUUUACAAUUAAAUCCCAACAACCUGAGUGUGGCGACCAAGGACUGUCUCUGUGAGUUCAGUCUGGGCAGAGGAAAAGGGGCAAGCAGAAUUUCACUACACCUACCUUUAAACAGAGUGCCCUAUGGUACUAAACAUUUGAAUAUCGAUCUGUAUAGAAAAUAAGAUCAUGUUAUUAAUCUUUUUCUGUCAACUUUUUUAUUCUUACAGAAUUAUAACUUUGUGACAUGAAACCUUUUGUAUUAACACAAAAGUAUACUUUUUAUGUUGGUGUAGAUGUUAACAAAAUAAAACAGUGUGCUUUUGGGUUUUUAAUCAUUGU